rnacentral:rRNA from 2 species
UACGAAGGGGGCGAGCGUUGUUCGGAAUUACUGGGCGUAAAGGGCGCGCAGGCGGCUCUGAAAGUCAGAUGUGAAAGCCCCGGGCUUAACCUGGGAAUUGCAUUUGAUACUCUGGAGCUUGAGUACGGGAGAGGAGAGUGGAAUUCCCAGUGUAGAGGUGAAAUUCGUAGAUAUUGGGAAGAACACCGGUGGCGAAGGCGGCUCUCUGGACCGUAACUGACGCUGAGGCGCGAAAGCGUGGGGAGCAAACAGG